GGUGGCUCAGCGGUAGAGCGAUUGCCUUGCAUGCAUGAAGCCCUGGGUUCGAUUCCUCAGCACCA
rnacentral:tRNA from 1 species